rfam:Spinacia oleracea cultivar SynViroflay scaffold20858.con0003.1, whole genome shotgun sequence.
GUGUCUGUAGCUCAGCGGAUAGAGUGUUUAUUUCCUAACCAAAAGGUCGUGGGUUCGAUCCCUAGCUGAUGCA